AUUGGACGCUGGCGGCAUGCUUUACACAUGCAAGUCGAACGGUAACAGGUCUUCGGAUGCUGACGAGUGGCGAACGGGUGAGUAAUACAUCGGAACGUGCCUAGUAGUGGGGGAUAACUACUCGAAAGAGUAGCUAAUACCGCAUGAGAUCUACGGAUGAAAGCAGGGGACCUUCGGGCCUUGUGCUACUAGAGCGGCUGAUGGCAGAUUAGGUAGUUGGUGGGGUAAAGGCUUACCAAGCCUGCGAUCUGUAGCUGGUCUGAGAGGACGACCAGCCACACUGGGACUGAGACACGGCCCAGACUCCUACGGGAGGCAGCAGUGGGGAAUUUUGGACAAUGGGCGAAAGCCUGAUCCAGCAAUGCCGCGUGCAGGAUGAAGGCCCUCGGGUUGUAAACUGCUUUUGUACGGAACGAAAAGCCUGGGGCUAAUAUCCCCGGGUCAUGACGGUACCGUAAGAAUAAGCACCGGCUAACUACGUG
rnacentral:rRNA from 1 species